rnacentral:rRNA from 1 species
AGAGUUUGAUCAUGGCUCAGGAUGAACGCUAGCUACAGGCUUAACACAUGCAAGUCGAGGGGCAGCAUGGUCUUAGCUUGCUAAGGCCGAUGGCGACCGGCGCACGGGUGAGUAACACGUAUCCAACCUGCCGUCUACUCUUGGACAGCCUUCUGAAGGGAAGAUUAAUACAAGAUGGCAUCAUGAGUCCGCAUGUUCACAUGAUUAAAGGUAUUCCGGUAGACGAUGGGGAUGCGUCCCAUUAGAUAGUAGGCGGGGUAACGGCCCACCUAGUCUUCGAUGGAUAGGGGUUCUGAGAGGAAGGUCCCCCACAUUGGAACUGAGACACGGUCCAAACUCCUACGGGAGGCAGCAGUGAGGAAUAUUGGUCAAUGGGCGAGAGCCUGAACCAGCCAAGUAGCGUGAAGGAUGACUGCCCUAUGGGUUGUAAACUUCUUUUAUAAAGGAAUAAAGUCGGGUAUGCAUACCCGUUUGCAUGUACUUUAUGAAUAAGGAUCGGCUAACUCCGUGCCAGCAGCCGCGGUAAUACGGAGGAUCCGAGCGUUAUCCGGAUUUAUUGGGUUUAAAGGGAGCGUAGAUGGAUGUUUAAGUCAGUUGUGAAAGUUUGCGGCUCAACCGUAAAAUUGCAGUUGAUACUGGAUAUCUUGAGUGCAGUUGAGGCAGGCGGAAUUCGUGGUGUAGCGGUGAAAUGCUUAGAUAUCGCGAAGAACUCCGAUUGCGAAGGCAGCCUGCUAAGCUGCAACUGACAUUGAGGCUCGAAAGUGUGGGUAUCAAACAGGAUUAGAUACCCUGGUAGUCCACACGGUAAACGAUGAAUACUCGCUGUUUGCGAUAUACAGCAAGCGGCCAAGCGAAAGCGUUAAGUAUUCCACCUGGGGAGUACGCCGGCAACGGUGAAACUCAAAGGAAUUGACGGGGGCCCGCACAAGCGGAGGAACAUGUGGUUUAAUUCGAUGAUACGCGAGGAACCUUACCCGGGCUUAAAUUGCAGAUGAAUUACGGUGAAAGCCGUAAGCCGCAAGGCAUCUGUGAAGGUGCUGCAUGGUUGUCGUCAGCUCGUGCCGUGAGGUGUCGGCUUAAGUGCCAUAACGAGCGCAACCCUUGUUGUCAGUUACUAACAGGUCAUGCUGAGGACUCUGACAAGACUGCCAUCGUAAGAUGUGAGGAAGGUGGGGAUGACGUCAAAUCAGCACGGCCCUUACGUCCGGGGCUACACACGUGUUACAAUGGGGGGUACAGAGGGCCGCUACCACGCGAGUGGGUGCCAAUCCCCAAAACCUCUCUCAGUUCGGACUGGAGUCUGCAACCCGACUCCACGAAGCUGGAUUCGCUAGUAAUCGCGCAUCAGCCACGGCGCGGUGAAUACGUUCCCGGGCCUUGUACACACCGCCCGUCAAGCCAUGGGAGCCGGGGGUACCUGAAGUGCGUAACCGCGAGGAGCGCCCUAGGGUAAAACUGGUGACUGGGGCUAAGUCGUAACAAAGUA